GGGCGUAUAACUCAGUUGGUAGAGUGCUCGCUUCGCAUGCGAGAAGUCUGGCGUUCGAAUCGCCAUUCGUCCA
rfam:Penicillium steckii strain IBT 24891 PENSTE_contig012, whole genome shotgun sequence.